rnacentral:rRNA from 1 species
GACGAACGCUGGCGGCGUGCUUAACACAUGCAAGUCGAACGGAAAGGCCCUGCUUUUGUGGGGUGCUCGAGUGGCGAACGGGUGAGUAACACGUGAGUAACCUGCCCUUGACUUUGGGAUAACUUCAGGAAACUGGGGCUAAUACCGGAUAGGAGCUCCUGCUGCAUGGUGGGGGUUGGAAAGUUUCGGCGGUUGGGGAUGGACUCGCGGCUUAUCAGCUUGUUGGUGGGGUAGUGGCUUACCAAGGCUUUGACGGGUAGGCGGCCUGUGAGGGUGACCGGCCACAUUGGGACUGAGAUACGGACCAGACUCCUACGGGAGGCAGCAGUGGGGAAUAUUGCACAAUGGGCGGAAGCCUGAUGCAGCAACGCCGCGUGCGGGAUGACGGCCUUCGGGUUGUAAACCGCUUUCGCCUGUGACGAAGCGUGAGUGACGGUAAUGGGUAAAGAAGCACCGGCUAACUACGUG